rnacentral:rRNA from 1 species
UACGGAGGGAGCUAGCGUUGUUCGGAAUUACUGGGCGUAAAGCGCGCGUAGGCGGCGCGACGCGACCGGUGUGAAAGCCCCCGGCUCAACUGGGGAGGGUCAUCGGUAACGGUCGUGCUGUGAGUGCAGGAGAGGGAUGUGGAACUCCGGGAGUAGCGGUGAAAUGCGUAGAGACCCGGAGGAACACCAGUGGCGAAGGCGGCUUCCUGGCCUGUAACUGACGCUGAGACGCGAAAGCGUGGGGAGCGAACCGG